rnacentral:rRNA from 1 species
GCAACCUGCCCCGAAGACUGGGAUAACACCGGGAAACCGGUGCUAAUACCGGAUACCCCCAUUGGUUCGCAUGGACCGAUGAGGAAAGGUUUUCUGCUUCGGGAGGGGCUCGCGGCCUAUCAGCUUGUUGGUGAGGUAACGGCUCACCAAGGCAACGACGGGUAGCUGGUCUGAGAGGACGAUCAGCCACACUGGGACUGAGACACGGCCCAGACUCCUACGGGAGGCAGCAGUAGGGAAUCUUGCGCAAUGGGCGAAAGCCUGACGCAGCAACGCCGCGUGGGGGAUGAAGGCCUUCGGGUUGCAAACUCCUUUCAGUGGGAACGAAAUUGACGGUACCCACAGAAGAAGCCCCGGC